AAGCUUCUUUGGUCCCUGAGUCACCACUUGGAGGGGAGCUGCUCAGAAGAGCUGCCUGACCUGCACUGGACAGUGACCUGAAUGAAAAAUAAACAGAGAUUCCAAGAUCUGUUUGUUACUGCAUAUAGCUACGUCUACCCUGCCUGAAACAGAUAUCCUAAGGACAUCAUAGACUAUGCCAGUUUCUUCUCUAUAGUUUUUGGAAUAGCCAGAGAAGGCCAUGUGAAUAAUGCAACAAUCAGAGUGAAUGACACAGGAACAAAAUUAAUUCUACAAUGACUGAGGAACUACCUGUGCAGGUCUGUAUGAAAAUGCGCUGAGAUAUAUUUCGGAGUUUUUGCCUAACAUCGCCUUCACUGUUAAAGAUCACAAUUUUUAUUUUUAGUGGAUGAUGCAUUCUACCAUGAGCAGACCUGAGGAUAAUUGUCUCUUGUGGCCUGAGAUGAACCCUAAACAAUUCAGUACUACUUUACCCUGAGAAUUUGAAUCUUAAGCAGAGUGAUACAAGGAUAGAAAAUGGCACUGGUUCUUCUGGAUGGCAUGCUCUUACUACUGCUCAUUCAUUCCUGCUUUCUAGCUCACUGUAGCUACCAUAUUACCACCCUUUCUUCCACUUUCUUUAAUGGUUCCUCAGUUUUUCAUUAGAUGUUAUGGGCUAAUCCACGUCCUUUUGAUAAUUUUCUCUUUUGAUUAAGUUGCACUGAGUGUGUUUGUUGCUUGCAUACAAGUUGAUAGUUGACAGGGAAAUAAAUCUGUAUCCUCCGUCCAUAGAAAUUAAAGUUUAGUAGGAGAGGCUACCAUAUCAAUAAAAAAUGUUAACUGGUUAUAGAAAAUACCCCUAUCCCGUGCAGAGCUAACUGUAUGACAAGGGAAGUAUGAGGAGCUGAAGAGGCACCUAAGGAGGAGGCCACCUUGAUCUGUGGGGUCAGGUAGAUUUCCUCAAAACAUUAAUACUUUAUGUGACAUGAAAGAUCAGUGAAAGUUUCUAGACCAAGGGAAGGUAUCUCAGACAGAGAGAUUAGCGUAUCCAGUGGUCUGAAGGUGAUGCCAUGAUGUCGUGAUAAAGUCAGGGAAAUGGAAGAAGGUCACUGGCUGUGACUGGACCACAUACCCUGGGAGAGUGGCGAGACACUGGGUUGGAAAGAUUAAAUCAUGCCUGGCAUUAUAAGUGGUGUUAAGGAAUUUGGAUAUUGUCCUAAAAAUCAUGUGAAACCACCUAAGGAUUUCAAAUAGGGAAGAGACAAAAAUAAUUUUGGAUUUCGGAAAAAUUGUUCCUGCAAUGUUGAUUUAUCAGAAUGUUUUAAGCCUAGAGUCAGUAAAAUCAGUUUAGAGACUGUUUGGGUAACCCAGUCCAAAUCUGACUGUGGACUGAUCUCAAGUGGAGGCAGCAGGGAUGGAGGACAGCUAUUCACAGAGAGAACUUCUAGGAAUGGAAAUUC